AUAGAGAUAGUUAAAUAAUAAUUUUAGAAUUGCACUCUAAGGUUGGGGAUGUCCCCUCACUAUA
rnacentral:tRNA from 1 species